UGCGCAGGUGGGCUUGUAAGUCAGUGGUGAAAUGCUGCCGCUUAACGGUAGAAUUGCCAUUGAUACUGUGAGUCUUGAGUAUGGUUGAGGUAGGCGGAAUGUGCAGUGUAGCGGUGAAAUGCAUAGAUAUCGCACAGAACUCCGAUUGCGAAGGCAGCUUACUAAGCCAUUACUGACGCUGAGGCACGAAAGCGUGGGGAGCGAACA
rnacentral:rRNA from 1 species